rnacentral:rRNA from 1 species
UACGUAGGGUGCAAGCGUUAAUCGGAAUUACUGGGCGUAAAGCGUGCGCAGGCGGUUUUGUAAGUCAGAUGUGAAAUCCCCCGGGCUUAACCUGGGAACUGCGUUUGAAACUACAAGGCUAGAGUGUGGCAGAGGGGGGUGGAAUUCCACGGUGUAGCAGUGAAAUGCGUAGAGAUGUGGAGGAACACCGAUGGCGAAGGCAGCCCCCUGGGUUAACACUGACGCUCAGGCACGAAAGCGUGGGGAGCAAACAGG